UGCGAGCGCCCCGCAAGGGGAGCGGCAGACGGGUGAGUAACGCGUGGGAACGUACCUUUUGCUACGGAAUAACUCAGGGAAACUUGUGCUAAUACCGUAUGUGCCCUUCGGGGGAAAGAUUUAUCGGCAAAGGAUCGGCCCGCGUUGGAUUAGCUAGUUGGUGAGGUAAAGGCUCACCAAGGCGACGAUCCAUAGCUGGUCUGAGAGGAU
rnacentral:rRNA from 1 species